rfam:Ipomoea nil DNA, scaffold: scaffold2165, cultivar: Tokyo-kokei standard.
CUGCAUGUAGCUACCCGUGCUCGUCUAAGAUCAAUGUGAUUAUGCGAAGAAGAAAAAGAAGUUCCAAUGCUCAUGCUAAAUUGAUCUCCCUGCUAGUGUUGCAUAUUAGCUCUCUGUACCUCUUUUCCAUGGCUGAUUUGUGUUAAUUCAACGGCUACACUU